GAUGAACGCUGGCGGCGUGCCUAAUACAUGCAAGUCGAGCGAAUGGAUUGAGAGCUUGCUCUUAUGAAGCUAGCGGCGGACGGGUGAGUAACACGUGGGUAACCUGCCCAUAAGACUGGGAUAACUCCGGGAAACCGGGGCUAAUACCGGAUAACAUUUUGAACCGCAUGGUUCGAAAUUGAAAGGCGGCUUCGGCUGUCACUUAUGGAUGGACCCGCGUCGCAUUAGCUAGUUGGUGAGGUAACGGCUCACCAAGGCAACGAUGCGUAGCCGACCUGAGAGGGUGAUCGGCCACACUGGGACUGAGACACGGCCCAGACUCCUACGGGAGGCAGCAGUAGGGAAUCUUCCGCAAUGGACGAAAGUCUGACGGAGCAACGCCGCGUGAGUGAUGAAGGCUUUCGGGUCGUAAAACUCUGUUGUUAGGGAAGAACAAGUGCUAGUUGAAUAAGCUGGCACCUUGACGGUACCUAACCAGAAAGCCACGGCUAACUACGUGCCGGCAGCCGCAGUAA
rnacentral:rRNA from 1 species